GGUGCUGGUGAACACACAGAGUUUGUAGGGUCGGACUGAGCGGGCUCCCAGCCACACUGCAGUCGUGUUUCACAUCAGCUCCGCGUUGCUCCAUGAGAAGAGCUGAAGCGCAAGCAGGUACCAGCGGAACACAGAAGAAGUCAUAAGAAUGAAAUCAAGCUGAAUUUGACACAACAGAAAGACCCAAGGUGGAAGAGAUACGUCCCAUUCUCAAUGUUCUACAUAAGUAUCUUUACGUUAGUUACCAGGUGGCAACAUAAUUAAGACAAUGUAAUUUUAAAACGUUGGCAAGUUAUGGCAAAUACAGGAACAAAUUUUGUCAUUCAUUCAGAUUUCUCACACUAAGAAUACAAAGUCAACAAGCAAAGUUUUUCCCAGGCUGCUGAAAUCUACACAGUAUUUUGACUAAACUAAAACCAUGACUAGAAUUCAUAACCAAGUGGAUGCAUGAAUGGCAAGUAGUGCUAAUUUAGAGGAAAAAAGCUGUCUUGAAUUACAUUUUGAUGUAGCUGUGAUCCUUCUCUUUGAAAAACCUCUGUGUGUACUUCACUUCAAUACAAAGAAGCAUAAACCCUUUUACUUGAGGGAGACUAGCCACUUAAUGUAAAAAAUGUACACAAGAAAGUGUUCAUAGGACUGGAGCCUAUGGAGUACCAGCACUCUCAACAGUGGAACAAGGCAUUAAAAUUGUAGCUCAUGAGGAAGGCAUGCAGGGGUUAUGCUGUACAAGCAAAUCCAACAAAAAAGUUCAAAGAAGUUACAGAUUUUUAAACUCAAAAAUCUUCAGGUUGUUUGUGAAGAUGUCCAUUCUACAGUAACACUAACUAUUCAGGCAGGUUAUUAUCCUGCAAUAUCAACAUCACGGAGGAUUCUGGUCUCCUUUCCCACUCAGCUAAACAAGUACAAUAGUAAGUUGGAGAAAAAGAUCUGUAAAAGUUAAAAAAUUUGUAAAAGUUCUAACAUGAAAGCAUUAACAUCAGAGAAAUUUCUAUUCAAAGCUCUGUGCAACAGUGAAAUUUCAUAAGGCUAAGCUCAGAUCUUUAAGAAACUCCAAGAAAUUAGUAGAUCAAAAAGUCAAGUUUAAUCUGAAUUUUUAGUCUAUAAAUGAAUGCCCUCCCAUAGCUGGACUAGGACUCCAGCUGCACUUGGGAUGGAUUUGCCCUAGGAGCACUAAAUGUUGUUUGCCCUUUCCUGUCUCCCACAGAGAAGCCCACUUGGAGACUUGUGCCUUUCUGAGAUGAAGGGGCACAUCUGCUACAGAACAAACAGAAAUCCAUCAACUAAGAGACCUCAUAGAUCCUGCUGGGUUAUCUUUUUAUAUGGAACACUUGCAUCUUAGUAAGUUCUUCUCAAGAAAAUAGAGAGCAUGUCACACUGUUUUAGCAAUCCUUUAUUGAAGAUAACAAGUUGGUUAUGUUCACUGUAUUGUAUGAAACAUCACAAUAUCAUACUGGGAAGGUACUAUCAGUACAGGGUUGGACCAGAGCGGACAGUCUGAACAAUAAACCAUUUUGCAUUCUUCAUUCCCUGUCUUUUAACAACCCCAAAAAAACCAGUAAAGGGACAAAUACCUGUUAACAUCAUCAUUUAAAACACUUUAACUUACAAGGCUAAAAUCUAAUGAAUAAAUAAAAUAUACUGUGGCAAUAAUCCUCUCUAGACCAAAAAAAAAAAAAAAAAUCAGAUACACAGUGAAUCAAAAUGACUGGAAAAGCUGGCCUUCGGCAUCAGUAUGAAAGAGCGUGUGGUUUGUACAGACUCACCAUGGGGAUAAAGUUACAGAAAAAUACCAUGAAUUUAAUUUCACACAAAACCAGUUGAUGACUGUCAUUAGCUUAAAA